rnacentral:tRNA from 1 species
CAGGGUGUAGCGCAGACCGGUAGCGCGCCUGUUUUGGGAACAGGAGGUCGUAGGUUCAAAUCCUGCCACCCUGA